rnacentral:rRNA from 1 species
AGGGUUUGAUCAUGGCUCAGAUUGAACGCUGGCGGCAUGCCUUACACAUGCAAGUCGAACGGCAGCACGGGAGCAAUCCUGGUGGCGAGUGGCGAACGGGUGAGUAAUAUAUCGGAACGUGCCCAGUCGUGGGGGAUAACGUAGCGAAAGCUACGCCAAUACCGCAUACGAUCUAUGGAUGAAAGCGGGGGAUCGCAAGACCUCGCGCGAUUGGAGCGGCCGAUAUCAGAUUAGGUAGUUGGUGAGGUAAAGGCUCACCAAGCCGACGAUCUGUAGCUGGUCUGAGAGGACGACCAGCCACACUGGGACUGAGACACGGCCCAGACUCCUACGGGAGGCAGCAGUGGGGAAUUUUGGACAAUGGGCGAAAGCCUGAUCCAGCAAUGCCGCGUGCAGGAUGAAGGCCUUCGGGUUGUAAACUGCUUUUGUACGGAGCGAAAAGGCCCCCUCUAAUACAGGGGGCUCAUGACGGUACCGUAAGAAUAAGCACCGGCUAACUACGUGCCAGCAGCCGCGGUAAUACGUAGGGUGCGAGCGUUAAUCGGAAUUACUGGGCGUAAAGCGUGCGCA